AUGACUUGUGAUUUGUUGUGUGUUUAGUGUGGAAUGAGACUCUUGGAACACAAAAUCCUGAAGAUUUGAAGGAAAUGACAUCAUCAUCGUCUCAGAUGUGUUGCUCUGGAUGCUGGCUGCUCUUCUUUGCGUCGUUGGCUUCAUUGUUGUGCUGUUGGUCAGUUUCAUCAUUCUAAAUCAGAGGUUUCAUCUCUCGCUGCACAAACACCAUCUGUCCAGGACGAUUUUCCAGGAUCUGAAAGAAAAAAAAUCCCUACUCCUUUCUCUCUCUCUCUUUCUCUCUCUCUCUCUGUGUCUCACUCUCUCUCUCAAACUCUCUCUCUCCCUCUCCCCUAAAAGUGUCUGAUAAAUG